rnacentral:rRNA from 1 species
GAUCCUGGCUCAGAACGAACGCUGGCGGCAGACUUAACACAUGCAAGUUGAACGGGAUUUGUAUGGUGCUUGCACCAUGUAAUGAGAGUAGCGCACUGUGAGUAACACGUGGGAACAUACCUUGAAGUGGGGACAACAGUUGGAAACGACUGCUAAUACCGCAUAAUCCCUGAGGGGGAAAGAUUUAUCGCUUUAAGAUUGGCCGCGGAAGAUUAGGUAGUUGGUGGGUAAAGGCCUACCAAGCCGACG